UGCAGUGGGAGGAGGCCUGGAAGGUCUCUGACAGAGGGAGGAGCCAGGAGUAAGGAAGGAGGAUGGCAAAAGGCAGGAAAAGAGAUAAACCCCAGAGGCUCCAGGAGGAGCUCAGCCCUGGAAGACCUCCAGGACUGUGAGCCCAUAAGCUUGCUUGUCUGAAGUCACCACAAGGUAAUUCGUUACACAGCAGCAGAGACCUAAAAACUACCAGGACGCUUACACCAGAGGGGGUUGGGCUCCAGAAUUCAAAAAUGGACCAGGGCGUAAAUUUCAAUGCAACCACCUAUUAACCAGGACGUUUGCGGGUCUGUGUGUGCUGGAUCAACUCGUGAUUAUCAUCAGGCUUAGCCUCACCAUUAAGAAGGAGCGAUUUCUCCUGUGAUUCCGCCACAUCUUUAAGCAGACGAGUGUGUUUUACAGGCCAAUGGAAUCACAGCCAUGGAAACAGGGGGAGGCAAUUCUACAGGGCUCUGCUCCGGAGACGGGAAUUGCGCUGUUACACAUCAAAAGAACAAAUCACUUAUUCCACUGCCAUCAGAUCAUCAUCCCUCCCGUUGCAGAAAAUCCCCAACUCCUUCUUAAUAAUCCAGUCUCAUGUUUAACAGCCUCUUGUCAACAGCAUCGCCUCCCUUCCAAGCCCCAGCUUAAACAUUAAACAUUUUACCUAAAGCUUUCAACUGAAUUUAAAACAACA